AUUUCAUCGAGUAGUGUAUUAAAUUGUCUACGAUUCAAUGUACAGGAUCUAAACCAAUUCACUGUUUUAAUAACUAUACCCAUAACAUGUAACAUUUUAAUUUUUUUCGAACAUAAAGAUUCUUGAUGGAUUAUACAAUGGAGACUUUUCAAAUCUACACCAUAAGCCAUAGCUUUUGAUUUUAAUCGAGAAAUCAAUCCUGUUUAUACACCUAACAUUGCGGGAGCUCCAUCAGUAGUAAUAGUCAAAAAAUUAUUCCAAUUUACUUUUAAUUCAUUAAGACACUUUUCAACACAGUCAUAUAAAUCACUACCGGUUGUUGUGUUAAUCAUAGGAAUCAAGUCCAAGAGUUCUUCAGUUACAUCAAAAUUAUCGAAAACUCCGCGAAUAAAAAUAGCCAACUGGGUGGUAUUGGUAAUAUCAGUACUUUCGUCAAUAACAAUAGAAACAUUUAAAAAUCGUUUUUUUCUAAAGUGAAUAAAUAAGGUUUUUUCGUUUUUAGAGGAUAAAAAUAAAAAGGUAAUUUUUCUCCAAAUUGAUGUUCCCUUCGAAAACUAACUGAUUGAAAAAAAAAAUAAAAUCAAAAAAAUUUAAUAUUAACAGCGCUAGAAAAAUCUGUCGAACUAUAUUAUGAUUUACUUUUCACAUUAUACAUCCAAAGAACCUUUGGAU